rnacentral:rRNA from 1 species
GAUCAAGUAAAGGAAGAGCACAAGGCGGAUGCCUUGGCAGCAUAAGGCGAUGAAGGACGUGGUAACCUGCGAUAAGCCUCGGGAAGUUGGUAAACAAAUUUUGAUCCGAGGAUUUCCGAAUGGGAAAACCCAAUAUACAUAAGUAUAUUAUCUUGUACUGAAUACAUAGGUACAUGAGGCAAACCUAGGGAACUGA